rnacentral:rRNA from 1 species
UACGGAGGGGGCUAGCGUUGUUCGGAAUUACUGGGCGUAAAGGGCGCGUAGGCGGCCUUCUAAGUCGAACGUGAAAUCCCCGGGCUCAACCCGGGAACUGCGUCCGAUACUGGAAGGCUUGAAUCCGGGAGAGGGAUGCGGAAUUCCUGGUGUAGCGGUGAAAUGCGUAGAUAUCAGGAGGAACACCUGCGGUGUAGACGGCUUACUGGACCGUAACUGACGCUGAGGCACGGAAAGCGUGGG